rnacentral:rRNA from 1 species
AGUGAACGCUGGCGGUAGGCCUAACACAUGCAAGUCGAACGGCAGCACAGUAAGAGCUUGCUCUUACGGGUGGCGAGUGGCGGACGGGUGAGGAAUACAUCGGAGUCUACUUUUUCGUGGGGGAUAACGUAGGGAAACUUACGCUAAUACCGCAUACGACCUACGGGUGAAAGCAGGGGAUCUUCGGACCUUGCGCGAUUGAAUGAGCCGAUGUCGGAUUAGCUAGUUGGCGGGGUAAAGGCCCACCAAGGCGACGAUCCGUAGCUGGUCUGAGAGGAUGAUCAGCCACACUGGAACUGAGACACGGUCCAGACUCCUACGGGAGGCAGCAGUGGGGAAUAUUGGACAAUGGGCGCAAGCCUGCUCCAGCCAUACCGCGUGGGUGAAGAAGGCCUUCGGGUUGUAAAGCCCUUUUGUUGGGAAAGAAAAGCAGCAGGUUAAUACCCCGCUGUUCUGACGGUACCCAAAGAAUAAGCACCGGCUAACUUCGUG